rnacentral:rRNA from 1 species
GUAACCUUACGUGGUUUGACAUGGUCGUAGUAGUGAACCGAAAGGGGAACGAGCCUUCGGGCAGCGAUCACAGGUGCUGCAUGGCUGUCGUCAGCUCGUGUCGUGAGAUGUUGGGUUAAGUCCCGCAACGAGCGCAACCCUCGUUGCCAGUUACACGUAUCUGGCGAGACUGCCGGUAUCAAGCCGGAGGAAGGUGGGGAUGACGUCAAGUCAGCAUGGCCUUUAUAUCCAGGGCUACACACACGCUACAAUGGUCGGUACAAAGAGUUGCCAAGCCGUGAGGCGGAGCUAAUCUCACCAAAACCGGCCUCAGUUCGGAUUGGAGGCUGCAACCCGCCUCCAUGAAGUCGGAGUUGCUAGUAAACGCCGGUCAGCCAUACGGCGUUGAAUACGUUCCCGGGCCUU